ACAGAUCAUGAGUAAUGACUAUGGAGAGAAGCAGUCUGCAGGACUGGUUCUGGAAGCAAUAGCCAGUGGGGAUGUCACUGCCAGUAUAGCUCCUGCAGAAGUGGCUCUGGGUAGCUGGGAGCUGCUAGGAAAGCACAAGGCCUUCACUUGGAUGGUCCUGUGCCUUUGUGAAUUCAAGGGAUCAGCUAGUUUUGGGUGCUCAAAUCCAUGUUAUUUCUGCAGGGAUGAAACCUAAUCCUCAUCAGAGAAGAACUCAAAGGUGAAGCAAGUGUCUUUAAAUAGAAUAACAUGUGAACAUUCAAUCAAGUGCUGAAUGAGGUGAAAGCAUGGACAAGGAUCAAAUCCUGCUUACCUGAUGGGACUAAUUCCAUUGACUACUGGGACAUUGACUUCAACAAACCAACUCAAAUGAGUAACAAAAGCAGAACUUGGCCUUUAUUGUUGUUUCAUGAGUAUCUAUUGGAUAUGGGCGCUGUUGACUGGAUUUAUUUUGUUUAAUUAUUUUUCCUUAAACUUACCUGAUCAACUGCAGUGAUCACAAUUUUCGGUGUUUAGA